GGUGCAGAUAGAGGUGCGGGUCUUCAAGAGUAGAGGCUGGAGGAGAACGGGCUCCGAUGAAGGCUUUGAAAGGGGAGAACCGCCGAAGGACGUACGGGCCCUUUCCCGGCGUGCCUGGUCCUGUGGCCGAACAGGUGCAGGACUGUCAAGAGGAAUUCUUGGAGCGCUAUCUCACCU
rnacentral:ncRNA from 2 species